UACGUAGGGUGCAAGCGUUUGUCCGGAAUUAUUGGGCGUAAAGAGCUCGUAGGCGGUUCGUCGCGUCGGCUGUGAAAACCUGAGGCUCAACCUCAGGCCUGCAGUCGAUACGGGCGGACUUGAGUACUGCAGGGGAGACUGGAAUUCCUGGUGUAGCGGUGAAAUGCGCAGAUAUCAGGAGGAACACCGGUGGCGAAGGCGGGGUCUCUGGGCAGUAACUGACGCUGAGGAGCGAAAGCGUGGGGGAGCGAACAGGA
rnacentral:rRNA from 1 species